UUAACUCAAAUUUGUAUGGAGUUGGAAAGUUUGCCUACGUUUGCCGCUAGGGGCGCUGUUCCAACAGCAUACAAAUAUAUGAGUUA
rnacentral:pre_miRNA from 1 species